rnacentral:rRNA from 1 species
AGUACGUGAAACUGCUUAGAGGUUAAGCCCGAUGAACCUGAAUAUCCGUUAUGGAAAAUUCAUCACUAAUACUAUGGUAUAUAUCAUAUUAUAGAAAUAGUGUGCAAUUUUUCCAUAUAAGGACAUUGUAAUCUGUUAAUGUAAUAAAUAUUUAUCAUAAGAUCUUUUACUUAAGUUUAUUCAAAUUAGUUAUUUUCGAAUUUCUAACAUAGAAUAAAUGUAUUAGAUUUGAUAAAUCAUUGACAGAUUUAAUUAUAUAUAGUGCUUAAAUUUUUCGGAAUUUUACAAUGAUGAGUAAAUCUAUUGAUUUAUUUAUAAUUGUAUGCGCUUAUAUGAUUAACAAUGCGAUAGAUUCAGGAUACCUUCGGGACCCGUCUUGAAACACGGACCAAGGAGUCUAACAUAUGUGCAAGUCAUUGGGUAUUUUUAAUAAAACCCAAUGGCAUAAUUAACUUAACUGUUUUAAAUGGGAUUAGUUUAUAUUUUAUUAUGAAAUAUGAAUUCAAUCCCGGGGCGUUCUAUAUAGUUAUGCAUAAUGAUAUUUAUAUUAUUUAUGCCUCUAACUAGAGC